rnacentral:rRNA from 1 species
GGCGAACGGGUGAGUAACACGUGAGCAACCUGCCCCAAGCUUUGGGAUAACCCUCGGAAACGGGGGCUAAUACCGAAUAUUACUUCUGGCCGCAUGGCUGGUGGUGGAAAGUUUUUCGGCUUGGGAUGGGCUCGCGGCCUAUCAGCUUGUUGGUGGGGUGAUGGCCUACCAAGGCGACGACGGGUAGCCGGCCUGAGAGGGCGACCGGCCACACUGGGACUGAGACACGGCCCAGACUCCUACGGGAGGCAGCAGUGGGGAAUAUUGCACAAUGGGCGGAAGCCUGAUGCAGCGACGCCGCGUGAGGGAUGACGGCCUUCGGGUUGUAAACCUCUUUCAGCAGGGACGAAGCGAGAGUGACGGUACCUGCAGAAGAAGCACCGGCCAACUACGUGCCAGCAGCCGCGGUAAGACGUAGGGUGCGAGCGUUGUCCGGAUUUAUUGGGCGUAAAGAGCUCGUAGGCGGCUUGUCGCGUCGACCGUGAAAACUUGGGGCUCAACCCCAAGCCUGCGGUCGAUACGGGCAGGCUAGAGUUCGGUAGGGGAGACUGGAAUUCCUGGUGUAGCGGUGAAAUGCGCAGAUAUCAGGAGGAACACCGGUGGCGAAGGCGGGUCUCUGGGCCGAUACUGACGCUGAGGAGCGAAAGCGUGGGGAGCGAACAGGAUUAGAUACCCUGGUAGUCCACGCUGUAAACGUUGGGCGCUAGGGUGUGGGGGGCCUCUCCGGUUCCCUGUGCCGCAGCUAACGCA